CAGUACCACUUUUAUCCAGUAUUUUUUACAUGGAUGGAUGAUAGAAGACAUCUAACUUCAUUCUCCAGAUGGAUUGUAUUUUGUCAUGAAAUACAACUGCAAGCAACCUAACAACCUUCCUGAGAGACCACACCCAGCUCCAGCCCAUGUGGAAUUUUGUGCCUGAAGCAGAGAGCCCUUUGUGAACCAGAGCAGCCCACUGCCUUGCUGGAGACCAGGUGGCGGAGCACUUGGCACAGGGACAUCAGCCUGAGCUUCCUGCUUUUCAAGUGAGGGGAAGAGCUCUUGGCUGGGGCUAUUGCAACUAAUAAACAGCGAAUAUUAGUUAA